GGGGGUCAAUGAUGCUGCGCGAUUACCUACAUUGCUUGAUUUUCCCCAUGAGAACAUAACUGUGACUGAGGCCCCC